rnacentral:rRNA from 1 species
CCUACGGGUGGCUGCAGUGGGGAAUUUUGCGCAAUGCUCGUAAGAGUGACGCAGCGACGCCGCGUGAAUGACGAAGGCCUUCGGGUCGUAAAGUUCUUUCGACAGGGAAGAAAAUGCCUAUAAGUAACUGUGUAUGUAUUGACGGUACCUGUAUAAGCAGCCCCGGCUAACUCCGUGCCAGCAGCCGCGGUAAUACGGAGGAUGCGAGCGUUAUCCGGAUUUAUUGGGUUUAAAGGGUGCGUAGGCGGGUUAUCAAGUCAGCGGUAAAAUCGUGGAGCUCAACUCCAUCCAGCCGUUGAAACUGAUGAUCUUGAGUGGGCGAGAAGUAUGCGGAAUGCGUGGUGUAGCGGUGAAAUGCAUAGAUAUCACGCAGAACUCCGAUUGCGAAGGCAGCAUACCGGCGCCCGACUGACGCUGAAGCACGAAAGCGUGGGUAUCGAACAGGAUUAGAUACCCCUGUAGUC